CUAGGCCGGCGUGCUAACAAUGCAAGUCGAACGCUGAAGCUUGGUGCUUGCACUGGGUGGAUGAGUGGCGAACGGGUGAGUAAUACGUGAGUAACCUGCCCUUGACUCUGGGAUAAGCCUGGGAAACUGGGUCUAAUACUGGAUAUGACCUCCUGUCGCAUGGUGGGGGGUGGAAAGGGUUUGUACUGGUUGUGGAUGGGCUCACGGCCUAUCAGCUUGUUGGUGGGGUAAUGGCCUACCAAGGCGACGACGGGUAGCCGGCCUGAGAGGGUGACCGGCCACACUGGGACUGAGACACGGCCCAGACUCCUACGGGAGGCAGCAGUGGGGAAUAUUGCACAAUGGGCGCAAGCCUGAUGCAGCGACGCCGCGUGAGGGAUGACGGCCUUCGGGUUGUAAACCUCUUUCAGCACGGAAGAAGCGAAAGUGACGGUACGUGCAGAAGAAGCGCCGGCUAACUACGUGCCAGCAGCCGCGGUAAUACGUAGGGCGCAAGCGUUGUCCGGAAUUAUUGGGCGUAAAGAGCUCGUAGGCGGUUUGUCGCGUCUGCUGUGAAAGUCCGGGGCUUAACCCCGGGUGUGCAGUGCGUCGGGCAGACUUGAA
rnacentral:rRNA from 1 species